AAAAUGCGAUACGUAAUGGGAAUUGCAGUGAAUCAUCGAAUCUUUGAACGCACAUUGCACCCAGUGGUAUUCCACUGGGUAUGCGGAGGUGAGCGCCUAUCAGGUUGGAACAUGCUUAGCAGUUCUCAAAAAAGGAAUUUGGUACAUACCACACUCUUACUCUAUAGGCCUCAUCGUCGUAGGAAGACCCGCUGAACUUAA
rnacentral:misc_RNA from 1 species